rnacentral:rRNA from 1 species
CCCGGCGAGGGGAGUGAAAAAGAACCUGAAACCGUGUACGUACAAGCAGUGGGAGCCUCUUAAUGGGGUGACUGCGUACCUUUUGUAUAAUGGGUCAGCGACUUAUAUUCUGUAGCAAGGUUAACCGAAUAGGGGAGCCGAAGGGAAACCGAGUCUUAACUGGGCGUUAAGUUGCAGGGUAUAGACCCGAAACCCGGUGAUCUAGCCAUGGGCAGGUUGAAGGUUGGGUAACACUAACUGGAGGACCGAACCGACUAAUGUUGAAAAAUUAGCGGAUGACUUGUGGCUGGGGGUGAAAGGCCAAUCAAACCGGGAGAUAGCUGGUUCUCCCCGAAAGCUAUUUAGGUAGCGCCUCGUGAAUUCAUCUCCGGGGGUAGAGCACUGUUUCGGCAAGGGGGUCAUCCCGACUUACCAACCCGAUGCAAACUGCGAAUACCGGAGAAUGUUAUCACGGGAGACACACGGCGGGUGCUAACGUCCGUCGUGAAGAGGGAAACAACCCAGACCGCCAGCUAAGGUCCCAAAGUCAUGGUUAAGUGGGAAACGAUGUGGGAAGGCCCAGACAGCCAGGAUGUUGGCUUAGAAGCAGCCAUCAUUUAAAGAAAGCGUAAUAGCUCACUGGUCGAGUCGGCCUGCGCGGAAGAUGUAACGGGGCUAAACCAUGCACCGAAGCUGCGGCAGCGACACUAUGUGUUGUUGGGUAGGGGAGCGUUCUGUAAGCCUGUGAAGGUGGCCUGUGAGGGUUGCUGGAGGUAUCAGAAGUGCGAAUGCUGACAUAAGUAACGAUAAAGCGGGUGAAAAGCCCGCUCGCCGGAAGACCAAGGGUUCCUGUCCAACGUUAAUCGGGGCAGGGUGAGUCGACCCCUAAGGCGAGGCCGAAAGGCGUAGUCGAUGGGAAACAGGUUAAUAUUCCUGUACUUGGUGUUACUGCGAAGGGGGGACGGAGAAGGCUAUGUUGGCCGGGCGACGGUUGUCCCGGUUUAAGCGUGUAGGCUGGUUUUCCAGGCAAAUCCGGAAAACCAAGGCUGAGGCGUGAUGACGAGGCACUACGGUGCUGAAGCGACAAAUGCCCUGCUUCCAGGAAAAGCCUCUAAGCAUCAGGUAACAUCAAAUCGUACCCCAAACCGACACAGGUGGUCAGGUAGAGAAUACCAAGGCGCUUGAGAGAACUCGGGUGAAGGAACUAGGCAAAAUGGUGCCGUAACUUCGGGAGAAGGCACGCUGAUAUGUAGGUGAAGCGACUUGCUCGUGGAGCUGAAAUCAGUCGAAGAUACCAGCUGGCUGCAACUGUUUAUUAAAAACACAG